CAGUGGGGAAUAUUGGACAAUGGGCGAAAGCCUGAUCCAGCCAUGCCGCGUGUGUGAAGAAGGUCUUCGGAUUGUAAAGCACUUUAAGUUGGGAGGAAGGGCAUUAACCUAAUACGUUAGUGUYUUGACGUUUACCGACAGAAUAAGCNCCGGCUAACUCUGUGCCAGCAGCCGCGGUAAUACAGAGGGUGCAAGCGUUAAUCGGAAUUACUGGGCGUAAAGCGCGCGUAGGUGGUUUGUUAAGUUGGAUGUGAAAUCCCCGGGCUCAACCUGGGAACUGCAUUCAAAACUGACAAGCUAGAGUAUGGUAGAGGGUGGUGGAAUUUCCUGUGUAGCGGUGAAAUGCGUAGAUAUAGGAASCAACACCAGUKGCGAAGGCGACCA
rnacentral:rRNA from 1 species